UUCAUAAAGAGAGUUUGAUCCUGGCUCAGGAUGAACGCUGGCGGCGUGGAUAAUGCAUGCAAGUCGAACGGUCCCGACAAAUUUCGCAAGAAAUUUGUCGCGGAUAGUGGCAGACGAGUUAGUAACACGUAGGAACUUACCCCAGAGACGGAUAUAACCCGGCGAAAGCCGGACUAAUUUCCGAUAGUCACUGAGAGCGAAAGCUCGAAGUGUAAAUCACUUAGAUUGGCUCUGGGAGAGGCCUGCGGGCUAUCAGCUAGUUGGCGAGGUAAUGGCUCACCAAGGCUAUGACGGCUAGGGGGCGUGAGA
rnacentral:rRNA from 2 species